rnacentral:rRNA from 1 species
AUUGAACGCUGGCGGCAGGCCUAACACAUGCAAGUCGAGCGAGCGGCGGACGGGUGAGUAAUGUCUGGGAAACUGCCUGAUGUAGGGGGAUAACUACUGGAAACGGUAGCUAAUACCGCAUACCCUCAGAUGUGCCCAGAUGGGAUUAGCGAGUAGGUGGGGUAACUGCUCACCUAGGCGACGAUACCUAGCUGGUCUGAGAGGAUGAACAGCAACACUGGAACUGGGACACGGUCCAGACUCUUACGGGAGGCAGCAGGGGGGAAUAUUGCACAAUGGGCGCAAGCCUGAUGCAGCCAUGCCGCGUGUGUGAAGAAGGCCUUCGGGUUUUAAAGCACUUUCAGCGGGGAGGUGUUACCCGCAGAAGAAGCACCGGCUAACUCCGUGCCAGCAGCCGCGGUAAUUC